rnacentral:rRNA from 1 species
AGCUCCAAUAGCGUAUAUUAAAGUUGUUGCAGUUAAAAAGCUCGUAGUUGGAUUUCGGAUUGGGUCAGUUGGUCCGCCGGAAGGUGUGUACUGGCUGGUCUGAUCUUCUUCGCAAAGACUGCGCAUUCUCUUUAUUGAGUGUGUGUAGGAUUUACGACGUUUACUUUGAAAAAAUUAGAGUGUUCAAGGCAGGCUUUGAGGCUUGAAUACAUGAGCAUGGAAUAAUGGAAUAGGACCUCGGUCCCUAUUUCGUUGGUUUUACGGACCGAAGUAAUGAUUAAGAGGGACAAUUGGGGGCAUCCGUAUUUCGUAGUCAGAGGUGAAAUUCUUGGACCUACGAAAGACGAACAACUGCGAAAGCAUUUGCCAAGAGUGUUUUCAUUAAUCAAGAACGAAAGUA